ensembl:lncRNA
AGCUUUAUCUGUUUGACUGCUUUUUCAUGUUUCACUGCUUUUACAGAAAAUGUGAUGAUGGUUUUGACAAGUCAGCAUUAAGAUCACAACACAACCAACAGGGUUAGAGCUCUGGGACAGCAUCCCAUCAUCCCUCUCCAUCUUGCCAGUGCUUCAGGAACAAGGUGGCUUUCUUUCCUGUAGUUGGUAGCGGAGCAGAACAGCCAGUAGUGCCCAGUUACAACAGCAAAGCUUCUGGAAACUUCUCUUUGGCUCGGGGUGCUUUGUAAGGGCUGGCUCUUGGUUACGUGGGGUGCUCCAUGUGCAUACCUGGAAGAACAUCAGGCUCACAGCGGCUGUGUCGCAACCAAAGGCUGAGAAGUUCUGGAGCAUCACCAGUCAGCAAGUAAUGGUUGGGGAAAUGGUGACCUGGAAAAGAAUCAUCCUCCUCCAGCAACCGGUGCAUGGAAGUGGGAGAGGGCCAAUCCAUGAAAGAGUGAACAUGUCAAUAACUACAGAUGUCUCUUAACGUGCGGGGACUUUAUAGUUAACCUGGAAGACAGAAUGUUCUGCUGAAGCUUGUGUGCAAGCUGAGGCUGAGCCAGGGGAGGAGAGCAUUUUUCCCAUGUGGAUUCUCCAGCAUGCAGUGAAGUCUAGAUUUAUCUCACAGCCUUUUUCAUCACACAAGUGCUGUUUUAAUCUAGCCCCUUUGCAGCCAUUGUGGAGCUGCCUGGCUGCAGCCUGCCCAUCCCCAGAGCUGCCAUCCCAUCCUGAUUCACCCAGCUGCUCUGCUCUGAGUCAUGGCAGCCACGUGCCAGCUGCAGAUCCUGGGAGAUCGCCACAGUUGUUCACAAUCAAACAAAAGGAGUCUAAUGAAAGUAUUUUAAUCUGCUGAUCAGCUAUUCGGAGAGAAAGGGAUGGCCGUGCUAGGUGUCUUCACAGUCUGGAAAUGAACGCAGCAAUGAAAGUUCAACUGCACCAAUAAUUUCUUGUUUUGUGAAGAAGAGCCGUGUCCUUGGAGCAGCACAAGCAAUGGCUUAUUAAAGAACACAGUCAUGGCCCCAUGUAUGAAACAUACCCACAAACAUGUGAACGUCAGCUUGAUGAGAAGCAAUGCACUCCUGGGUGGAUCCCAUGUAAAAUAUGCCGUGUUUGGAAACAUGGCUGUGCCUAGGAAAAGCCGGACUAAUGCAUCCAGAUAUGCAAAAAUACCUUUGGUGCUGAAGUGGAAAAUCCCAUUGUAUGGUAACGGUUGCUCAGCUGCCUGAUCUUGAGACCUCUGAGGCCCCACCACAACACUGGCCUUCCAGCAGACAGGCUGACAAUGAUGCUCUUCUCCCCAGCAGAGCUGCCCUCUCCUGACAUGCAUAAACUUCUCUUCAGUAAUGGCUAUUUGUCCCCAUGUUUAGUAUAAUUAACUCUGACUCACAAAUCUGGUUUGACAGAAUGCUCCAGAUAUUACAUCUGAAAGAUUUGAUUGCCAAAGUGGUCCAGAUAGGGAACCCCUGACUUAUAAGAUUUAAACCUUUGCCUUGCAGGAACAAAGCACUCUGGUGGUUAUUACCAAGCAGGUUAAUUUUUCAGGAGUCUAAUUCUGAGAAGCCCACAAAGAAUAUGGAAUGCUUCACCAUCACUUCCCUUUGACCCAUGUUAUCUUGGUAUUUUUGAUGGAAGCUGCAGUGCUAAUGACUUGUUUAUUGUUUAUUUUUAAUUCUGGGUUAUGGCUUGGAGGAAGGCGUGCUGCCAUGUGAUGGUGUCAUUCCACUGCUUCCUUCAUUCCCACCAGGAAACUUGCAGCCCACGGACACGGCAGAGCUCAGCAGUGAAAACCUUCAGCAGAGCCCAGGGAAGCCUUGGCAGCACGCUGCUGCUCUGGGGGCACUUGCAACUCUGCCAGCUUAUCGUGAACACCAUGCUUUGGUGGCAUUUGCUGUGGCUCUCACACAGAUCAGCAUCUCGAUUUCUGCUGUCUGAGCUGACCUCCAUCUAAAGGGUUGGUGCCCACCGGCAUCCAGUUGCCUGAUGUUCAUGUUGGGUUCGUGAGGGCAGACAGAUGUCCCCUGCUGUGAAUGCUCAGUCUAAUUUAAUCUGUUGAGAAUGAUUGGUGUUGCACAAGGCCGUGUUUGGUGGGGAUGUGUGGCUCUCACAGUGCUCCUGCACUGCUGUAUCAAAGGAUGGCUUGCUGAAGACACAGCGGUGCUUUCUGUGUGGCGAGGCCUUUUCUGUUUAGUUUUUAGUACCCAUUUGCUAAAAGCAAAAUGCUCUUCCAUCUCCAUGCUGAGCUUUCUGGGGAAGGGAGAGCCAAGGUGAGCAGUGAAAGGUAGGAACAGCAGUGCUAAGUGUUGUGAAAAUAUAACCGAAAAGAAAAUGACCUCUUGAACUAUUUCAUGUUAGAACCUUCAUUGUUUUAGUGACUCCUAUGAUUCCUGAGUUUUUGACUGAGACUGAACUCCAUGCUGUUUGUAACACAUGGAUGUGAUGGGCAGCCACCUCCAGGACAGGACAGCUGGGGCCAUCAGCGCCCUCCUGUUCUCUUCCUUGGGGUGAUGUCCAACUUGGACUGCCAGCUGGGUAUGGUGUCUGCUUCCCAGCCUGGUGCUCCAGGAUCCUGCAGCGUAUGGGGCUGUUUGGGCUGGGAAAUUGUGGUGGGGGGGGGGAUAAUUCAUCUAAAUGUGUCUUAUCGUCAUCGUUUGUACUUUGAAAUGAAAUUUCCCUUGUCUUUU